rnacentral:rRNA from 1 species
ACGAACGCUGGCGGCGUGCCUAAUACAUGCAAGUCGAACGGUCUUUCUAUGGAAGCUUGCUCCACUGAAAAGAUAGUGGCGAACGGGUGAGUAACACGUGGGUAACCUGCCCAUAAGAGGGGGAUAACAUCCGGAAACGGGUGCUAAUACCGCAUAGUUUUCUUGAUUGCAUGAUCGGGAAGGAAAGACGGCCUUUGUGCUGUCGCUUAUGGAUGGACCCGCGGCGUAUUAGUUAGUUGGUGAGGUAACGGCUCACCAAGACGAUGAUACGUAGCCGACCUGAGAGGGUGAUCGGCCACAUUGGGACUGAGACACGGCCCAAACUCCUACGGGAGGCAGCAGUAGGGAAUCUUCCGCAAUGGACGAAAGUCUGACGGAGCAACGCCGCGUGAGUGAAAGAAGGUUUUCGGAUCGUAAAACUCUGUUGUCAGAGAAGAACAAGUUGGAGAGUAACUGCUCCAGCCUUGACGGUAUCUGACCAGAAAGCCACGGCUAACUACGUGCCAGCCGCGGC